CGGGGACGACGUCAAGUCAUCAUGGCCCUUACGACCAGGGCUACACACGUGCUACAAUGGUCGGUACAAAGGGUUGCUACCUAGCGGAUAGGAUGCUAAUCUCAAAAAGCCGAUCGUAGUCCGGAUUGGAGUCUGCAACUCGACUCCAUGAAGUCGGAAUCGCUAGUAAUCGCGGAUCAGAAUGCCGCGGUGAAUACGUUCCCGGGCCUU
rnacentral:rRNA from 1 species